AACUUUGUUUCAAUUUCUCUUUUUCCCAAUCCCUUCACCCAAAUUCAUUGGAUCCACUUUGUGACUGCUAAAAAUCUUAAAUUUUUUAUUUUAUAGUAAGUGGGGUGUUAGAAUGAGCACUGAAAGUGCAGAACUUGAAGCAGUUACAUCAUCUACUUGUGAUGUCAAUGUUGAUCUUGAAGGUGUUGUUUCAUUAUCAAAUAGAGAUGCAGUGGGAGAUCUGGGCAUUGUUUGCAGUACAAUACUUACAAAGCUGGAUUUUAGUUUGGCAUGUUUCUCAGAGAAAGUUUCCAACUUGAGCAUUUUUGUGAUGCAUCUUGCAACCAUGGAGAGUGAAUUUGAGUCCUUGGAUUUGGAGGAGAAUCACACGGGGCUUGGUUCUUUGGAAAAGGGUGUGGAAUUUGAUCUGUUACGUGGGGUGUUGGAUUCAGAGGUAAGAGAGUUGGGAGGAUUCUUGGACAGUCUUCAAGCUUGGAUUGCUGAAGUUAGAGAGAGAGUGUGUUCUUGCACUCACUUGGGAGAGGCUUUCAUGACAAUGGAAGACAAGUUGCUUGAUUCUGAACAAAAGUUGAAGCAGUCUGAAGAGCAGUUUAAUGAAAUUAAGAUGCAAUCAGCUAGUUUUGUGAGGGCUUUGUCUUCUUUUAAGAAGGCAGAAAACGAUAACUGUGAAGCAGGUGAAAUCGUCAAAGAGGAUGAUAAAUUUUUGAAUGUAAAUACCGGGCUAACACUUCAAACAGUUGAGCAACAAAGAUAUAUUCUGCAAAUGCUUGAGAAAUCUUUGGCAAGAGAAAUAGAUCUUGAGAAAAAUAUCCAUCAUUCAAGAGAAGUUCAGGAAACUCUAAAACUAAGGAUGUUCUUUUUAGAGCAAGAGCUUGUUGACAUGGAGGAAGAAGCCAUUGAUGUUUGGGAAAGAUGGUUUGAGGCAGACAAUGCACGUGAGAUUCUGUUGGGAAUUUCAAAAGGCCUGUUGGGUAGACUCCAGAUUUCUCAGUUCAAUUUGACUGGUUUAAGUCAUCGUGAAUCUGAGCUUCGAGCCAAGCUUGAAAAUGUUUUAGAAAACUUGAAAGUUAGAGAUAUUAUUAUUGACAAGAUUGAAAGCAGCGCUGCUGAAAUAAAUGGCUCUCAUCUAGGUCAGACAAAUAACGCAAAAGCUAACCUGAAAGAUGCCGAAGAUAAACUAACUGUUGCCAAUUCUUAUGUGUUCACUUUAAGUGAUAAGGUGUCUUCACUUGAGAAGCAGCUAAAAGAAUCUGAAUUUGAGCUGGUGAAUGUGAAGGCCUGUGCUGAUGAAUAUCAAAAGCAGUAUAAUGUUAUGUGUUCUGAAGUAAGAGACAUGGGAAAUCUUAUUGGUGAACUGAAAGAAUCUGUGUCUAAUGCAGAAAGUAGGGCUAAUAGUUCAGAAGAAAAGUGUAAGUUAUUGACUGAGACUAAUUCAAAACUCACUGAAGAGCUGGCUCUUUUGAAAGGUGGUGGAGGAUCAUCUACGAGAGUGGAUUUGCUCGAGAAGCAGCUAAAAGAAUCUAAUCUACAAUUGCAGAAUACUGUGGCAUCUGCUAAAGCUAGUCAGGAGAAACAGAGAAUGUUGUAUUCCACAAUUAGAGAUAUGGAAAAUGUAAUAAAGGAUCUUAAGUCAAAGGUUUCUAAAGCUGAGAAUAGGGUAGACAGUGCAGAGGAGAAUUGUAUCAUAUUGUCUGAAUCUAACGCUGAGCUAAAUGAGGAACUCAGCUUCUUGAAGAAUAGAUUAGAAAGCUUGGAGGGUUCCCUGCAUCGAGAAGAGGAAGCGAAAAUGGCAACGGCAAAUGACAUUGGAAAGCAGACCAAAGUCUUGAAAACAUUGUUGAAACAGCUAGCCAUUGAGAGAGAGCGUCUUAAGCAGCAGUUAUCUUCCCUCGCAAGUGAGAACAAGAUUUUGAUAGUGAAGUUAAAGCAGACUUAUAAGGCACCCUUCUUGAGAAGCUAGUGAGACUACAACCACAGGCGAUGAGGUGAACAGGACUUCGAAAACAAAUUAUCUGUUAUAGUUAAUGAAGUUAUUCUGCGCCAGAAGUAUGAAGAGAAUAGAUUCUGUUCUUGACUUUUCAUCUCAAAUAUUAUAUUUCAUACAAAGCAUUUUGGAGUUAUAAAUUUUAAGUGUUGAGCUCUAAGGGAUUCAAGAAUUAUGAUGGAUUUUAGUGGUAGAUAGAAUAUGUGAUCAAUUCUCUUGUAACAAAUGGUUUCAGGCUAGACCUGUCUUUUUAAAACUUGUUGUACU